rnacentral:lncRNA from 1 species
UCUCCCCAGAAAGGACUUGGGAAAUCAUGAGGUGAAACUGUUGGGAGAUGCCUUGCCUUCUAACAACAUAGGGGCAAGGGAAAGCACUUUUAUAUAACUAUGGGGAAUGUAAAUUUAGCUGAAAGAAAGGGGAUCUCUUAGAAAAUUUAGUGGCCAUCCAGGUCCCCAGAUGGGACCUAAUUCCUGUGGAAGUCAUCCCCUCAACAAAGAUUCUGUGGUCUUGAUCCUCAGCCUCAGCCUCACAUCUCUUAUAUUCAUCAAUGGCCCAAGUCUGAACCUUCUUUGUCUCCAUGACUCUCCUUUCACUUAAUAGUAUACUGUAAAAGUAAUCACCUAGGCAACAACUAGCUCCUUCUAAGU